rnacentral:rRNA from 1 species
UUGGCUCAGAAGCAGCCACCAUUUAAAGAGUGCGUAAUAGCUCACUGGUCGAGAGACGCUGCGCCGAAAAUGUCCGGGGCUCAAGCACGGAACCGAAGCUAUGGCAUUGCGUAAGCAAUGGGUAGGGGAGCGUUCUUAUGGGGAAGAAGCAUUACCGUAAGGAGAUGUGGACACAUAAGAAGUGAGAAUGCCGGUAUGAGUAUCGAAAAGAAAGGUGAGAAUCCUUUCCACCGAAAGCCCGAGGGUUCCUGAGCAACGAUCGUCGUCUCAGGGUAAGUCGGGACCUAAGCCGAGGCACAGACGCAUAGGCGAUGGACAACAGGUUGAAAUUCCUGUACCGGAUGGAGUCAUUUGAGCAAUGGAGUGACGCAGGAGGGCACAUGAUCGCGCGACUGGAAGAGCGCGUCCAAGUGCGUAUGUUGAAUCGGAGGCAAAUCCCCGAUUCUGAAAGCAGAGACAUGAUGGGGAGUUAUAAGCGAUUAUGACGAACUCAUGGAUCCCACACUGCCAAGAAAAACUUCUAGCGAGACGAAAUCCGCCCGUACCGUAAACCGACACAGGUAGGCGGGGAGAGAAUCCUAAGGUGCGCGGGAAAACCCUCGUUAAGGAACUCGGCAAAUUGCAUCCGUAACUUCGGGAGAAGGAUGGCCCUGAGUAGGCGAAGUGCAGAAACGCACGGAACAGAAAAGGGUGGCAGAAAAGAGGCCCAAGCAACUGUUUACCAAAAACACAGGUGCCUGCGAAAGCGAAAGCUGAAGUAUAGGUGCUGACGCCUGCCCGGUGCUGGAAGGUUAAGGAGAGAGGUUAGCGCAAGCGAAGCUUUGAACUGAAGCCCCAGUGAACGGCGGCCGUAACUAUAACGGUCCUAAGGUAGCGAAAUUCCUUGUCGGGUAAGUUCCGACCCGCACGAAAGGUGUAACGAUUUGGGCACUGUCUCAACGAGGGACCCGGUGAAAUUGAAGUACCUGUGAAGAUGCAGGUUACCCGCGACUGGACAGAAAGACCCCAUGGAGCUUUACUGCAGCUUGAGAUUGAAUCCCGGUGGCAGACGCACAGGAUAGGUGGGAGGCUUUGAGAUAGUGACUUUGGUUGCUAUGGAGCCGACGUUGGGAUACCACCCUUCUGUUGCUGGGAUUCUAACGCGAAGAUUAACAACCUUGCGGACCAUCUCAGGUAGGCGGUUUGACUGGGGCGGUCGCCUCCGAAAGAGUAACGGAGGCGCCCAAAGGUUCCCUCAGGCCGGACAGAAACCGGCCGAAGAGUGCAAAGGCAGAAGGGAGCUUGACUGCGAGACAGACAAGUCGAGCAGAGACGAAAGUCGGGCUUAGUGAUCCGGUGGUACUGCGUGGAAAGGCCAUCGCUCAACGGAUAAAAGCUACCCUGGGGAUAACAGGCUAAUCUCUCCCAAGAGUCCAUAUCGACGGGGAGGUUUGGCACCUCGAUGUCGGCUCAUCACAUCCUGGGGCUGAAGUAGGUCCCAAGGGUUGGGCUGUUCGCCCAUUAAAGUGGUACGCGAGCUGGGUUCAAAACGUCGUGAGACAGUUUGGUUCAUAUCCAUCGCGGGCGCAAGAAGUUUGAGGGAGGCUGCUCCUAGUACGAGAGGACCGGAGUGGACGGAUCAACGGUGUACCAGUUGUCACGCCAGUGGCACGGCUGGAAAGCCGCAUCCGGAAAGGAUAAACGCUGAAAGCAUCUAAGCGUGAAGCCCGUCCCAAGAUGAGACUUCUCAUCAGCAAUGAGUAAGACCCCUUAAAGACGAUGAGGUUGAUAGGCUGUGAGUGGAAGAGCCGCGAGGCUUGGAGCGACGCAGUACUAAUAGGUCGAGGUCUUAACUUA